GGGAUCCGUCCGCGCUCGCUGUCCCCGUGUAGUUCUCGAGUCGUCUGUCCUCGGCGGCGGUCCGCGGGUGACAUGCAGUCCCUCAUCUCUCCGGUGACCAAGGCUAUCCUGGUGGCUUUGUUCAUCUUCGCCAUCCUGCUGAUCCUCUACGUGAUUCUGUGGUACAUCUGCCGCGAUGUGGAUUGCGACCAUGGGAUCUGAGCGGCGCCGCGGGGCCAGGGCUUAGGAGCCGGGAUUCACCCCGCGGGGCCGGGAACGGCAGCGGGAGCCCCUCCGGGCGGCAGACGCUGCCACCGCGGCCGAGCAGGGGAAGAGAAGGGGAAGGAAAGACAAGAAGAAAAAAAGAAAAAUAAAGAGAGAGAAGGACCGAGCCGAAAGAGCCCGGAGGACAACUGCGAUCAAGAAACCAACCUGAGCUUGACCUUCAGAGACCAGGGUGACCCGAGAGAAAGUGAUGCAGUAGGGUACCCACUGCUGUAUUGAAGUCUGGGAGCAGGGAAGAUGCAUGGAAGAAAUGGAGAAGACUGUUGGGAGGCAAAAGAACAUUGCACAGAGAGAGCUGUUUCAAGGAAGCAGCAAAUCUAGAGAUUCAGAGUGCACCUUAACAGCAUGCAGGAGUGCUAGGAUACAGUGGAUAUUUUUGCCCCCGACAAAGGAGGAAUGAUGAGGAGGACUCCAUCUUACCAGAAGGGUUUUCAGCUGUAUGAAGCAAGCAUUGGUGGAGUCCAGAAACUGCAUCUGUAAACUCAGUCUCAUGACACUUGGGCAGCUUGUGUACCAGCAACUGAAGCUCUCCAUUGUGGGUAUUUUGUAUUUGAUGACUCUUCUUUAUCUAGCAACAUCCUGUACUUGAUCAUGUUUUUUAGUUCCAGAAGUGCAUAGCAAUAGCUGUAAAAUCUAAUUUAAUUAUGGCUAGUAUCUAUAAAUACUAUCCAUAUAU